UAAAUGUGUGUUUGUUCUCGCGCAACACGGCGCCUUUCACUCUGGGCCAGGCCGGUUGGGCUGUCGUGUCAGCCACGCCGUGAUGGCUCUGGGCUGGCAGGGAGAAGAGGCGAGGAGGGGCACGGGGAGCGUUAAGCAGAACAACAAAGGCGGCGAGUUGAUGACUCCAAUCAGGUGGAUGGAAUUCCAAUCAAUUAGGGAGUGGCCGUGUGGGAGACUCUUGAGAGACGCCCACUCGCUCGCCCUCCCUCUCUCUCUCUCUGGCAAGGUGUUCACACGGCCGUCGGCUCGAGAUGGAGUCCUGGCGCACGGUGACCAGCACGGGACGGGUUCAGCGAGUUACGGAGAGACUGAGAACUUUACACGGCGGUGUUUUAUUAAUUUUGUAGAGAGUUGACUACGAAGAGUUCUGAAGACUUGGAACAGACGAAUGCCACAGGGUGAGCGGAGAAGUUGAAGCCCCGGUUCUGGAGAGACCCCCCUCCCACAGGCUGAAGGUGAACGUCGCGUUUCGACGGAAGAAGGCCCUUUUCAUCGGUCGCUGGAGCGGAGAGCACGGGACGAGGCGAGAGGGGAGAGGCCGCCUCCAGCGAGGCCACAGAGCAUCUCGGAGAGAGUGACGUCGAUCUUGCGGUUACGUGUCCGGCACACGGCCGAGGAGUCCGAACGUCCCGAAGAGGCAGGACCCUCCUGAGAGGGAGGCCCCCCCGAGACUCGGCGAGGCUCCGCAGGGCCGGUGGGUGGUGGUGGUGGGGGGCGUAAGUGGCGGUGCGGGCACGCGCGCGGCCGCACGAGACCCGCGUCUCGGGCAGUUUCGCGCCUCCCGGCUAAAAUCGCGAGCAAACGUCGACCGCUCAUGGCACCGCCGUGACGGAGUGCGCCGCUCGCGCCCCGCUUUGGACGUACGACGGUGAUCGGGGUGCGUGGGGGUGUAACAAACAAAAAACGGGGCGAAAUUUUUUUCCUUCUU